CAGCCGCCGCGGUAAUACGAAGGGUGCGAGCGUUAAUCGGAAUUACUGGGCGUAAAGCGUGCGCAGGCGGUUGUGCAAGACAGAUGUGAAAUCCCCGAGCUUAACUUGGGAACUGCAUUUGUGACUGCACGGCUAGAGUGUGUCAGAGGGGGGUAGAAUUCCACGUGUAGCAGUGAAAUGCGUAGAUAUGUGGAGGAAUACCGAUGGCGAAGGCAGCCCCCUGGGAUAACACUGACGCUCAUGCACGAAAGCGUGGGGAGCAAACAGGAUUAGAUACCCGCGUAGUCCCUGUCUCUUAUAC
rnacentral:rRNA from 1 species